GUCUAGGUAGCUCAAUAGGUUUAGAGCGUGGGAUUGAAGAUCCUGAAGUUAUAGGUUCGAACCCUAUCCUGGACA
rnacentral:tRNA from 1 species